rnacentral:pre_miRNA from 1 species
GAAAUACUCCCUCCGUUCGGAAUUACUUGUCGCAGAAAUGGAUGUAUCUAGACGUAUUUUAGUUCUAGAUACAUCCAUUUCCGAGACAAGUAAUUCCGAACGGAGGGAGUAUAAG